GACGAACGCUGGCGGCGUGCUUAACACAUGCAAGUCGAGCGGUAAGGCCCUUUCGGGGGUACGACGAGCGGCGAACGGGUGAGUAACACGUGGGUGACCUGCCCUCAGCCCUGGGAUAAGCCUGGGAAACCGGGUCUAAUACUGGAUAUGACUCCAUGACGCAUGUUGUGGGGUGGAAAGCCUUGUGCGGCUGAGGAUGGGCCCGCGGCCUAUCAGCUUGUUGGUGGGGUGAUGGCCACCAAGGCGACGACGGGUAGCCGGCCUGAGAGGGCGACCGGCCACACUGGGACUGAGACACGGCCCAGACUCCUACGGGAGGCAGCAGUGGGGAAUCUUGCGGCAAUGGGGCGAAAGCCUGACGCAGCGACGCCGCGUGAGGGAUGACGGCCUGGUUGUAA
rnacentral:rRNA from 1 species